AGCGGGAAACGUGCUCCAAGAAGAGGCCUCUCAGGGUCGUUCGAGAAGAGGACGUAGAUAGGCCGGAGGUGUAAGCCCUGCGAGGGGUUGAGCCGACCGGUACUAAUAACCCGAAUCCUUUACCUU
rnacentral:rRNA from 1 species